rnacentral:rRNA from 1 species
AAUACGUUCCCGGACCUUGCACACACCGCCUGUCAAGCCAUGGAAGCUGGGUGUACCUAAAGUCGGUAACCGUAAGGAGCCGCCUAAGGUAAAACUAGUGACUGGGGCU